AACCUAGCACACCUGCGGUGUGUACCUGCGGAGGGAUCAUUAGCCUUUCAAAUCAGGGUGCGGCGCGGCCCCCGAGGAGCGGAAACAAUCCUUGGGAGGUAUGCGGGGGCUUCGAGCCCCCCAUUUACGCACGCACGACUGCCAUCCUUACUUUACGAGCACCUUCUGUUCUCCCUCGGCGGGGCAACCUGCCGUUGGAACCGAAUAAACUCUUUUUGCAUCUAGCAUUACCUGUUCCGA
rnacentral:misc_RNA from 1 species